rnacentral:rRNA from 1 species
GACGAACGCUGGCGGCGUGCUUAACACAUGCAAGUCGAGCGGAAAGGCUCCUUCGGGGGUACUCGAGCGGCGAACGGGUGAGUAACACGUGAGUAAUCUGCCCUCCACUCUGGGAUAACGUUCAGAAAUGGGUGCUAAUACCGGAUGUACACAGGCUGACGCAUGUUGGUGUGUGGAAAGGGUUUUUCUGGUGGGGGAUG